rnacentral:rRNA from 1 species
CGCUAGCGACAGGCCUAACACAUGCAAGUCGAGGGGCAGCACAAGGAGUAAUCUGAGGUGGCGACCGGCGCACGGGUGAGUAACACGUAUGCAACCUGCCUGUAAGCGGGGAAUAACCCGUUGAAAGACGGACUAAUACCGCAUAAUACUAAAUUACUGCAUGGUAAUUUAUUUAAACAUUUAUGGCUUACAGAUGGGCAUGCGCAUGAUUAGCUAGUUGGAGAGGUAACGGCUCCCCAAGGCAACGAUCAUUAGGGGUUCUGAGAGGAAGGUCCCCCACACUGGUACUGAGACACGGACCAGACUCCUACGGGAGGCAGCAGUGAGGAAUAUUGGUCAAUGGACGAGAGUCUGAACCAGCCAAGUCGCGUGCAGGAAGAAUGUCCCUAUGGAUUGUAAACUGCUUUUGCAGGGGAAUAAAGUGCAUCACGUGUGAUGUUUUGUAUGUACUCUGCGAAUAAGGAUCGGCUAACUCCGUGCCAGCCGCGGC